UACCAAGUCUGUGGGGUACCCAUGCAAAGGAAAGCCAGGUCUCAGGUGCCCAUUGUCCUGCUCAAGGCCACUAACACCUGAUGGCCAGAACCUAAACCAUGCCUUGGUCCUGAGAUGGUCCUCCGGAGCCCAGAAGUGGCUGCGCUGUCUUAAAGUCCACUGCAAGAAGAGGCCACUGACCCACCUUGGAGGCCUCAGGACUGAGCCUGUGGAGUAAGAGCUCCGAGAUCGCGGGCGCCACGUCCCCAGCCCCGCCCGCACGAGCUUCGCGGGGGAACCCCGGUGACGUCACCGCCCGCAGCGCCUUCCUUCCCGCGCUCUCCAGAAAGGACGCGAAGGUGGUGACGUGUCCGGAGCGCCGGCGCGGCUGCGCACAAGGAGGCGAGUGAUAAACUUGCGGCGCCGCCUGGCGGGAGGACAGCGGCGGCCGGGCUGGAGGCGACGCGUGUCGGCAGCGCCGUGGCGUCAUCUCGCGGGGCCGCGGGACCGCGUGCUGCGCCGGCCUCCCUGCGUCAGUGCGGGCGGAAGCGUGGCUUCAUGGCGGUUCCCUUGGUCUUCUGAGACUGCUUGGCCGCUUCGCGCUGCGAGUCAUGGGGAGUUCCGAGGACCAGGACACAUGAAGACAGGGCUGUGUUGUCAUGCUCAGCCGUUGUCAUCCCCUGAAAUCCGGUCUCAGGAAGGAACAGAAAGUACCGUCUCUGGCAAUACGAGCGGUUUCCUCUGUGAUGCUGUUUCUUUAUGCAGACCAGUAAUUGGGACUCAGAGCGUUGGUUUCUCACUAGUCCAUUUGUAGAGUUGUUGAUAGGAACACAGGCCAGGCUGCAGCCAUAGCUGCUUGACCCCACCUCCAAGUCGGAGCAGGGAAGGCAGGAGAGAGGUCUUACAUCCACCCCGUCAGGAACCGACCUUGUCUUUUGAAAUGUAGUCUUCCGCACAAUACUUCAUGCAAUGUCUGGGUGCCUCCUAGAAAUGCGGGUCUUGGACCUUUCCCCUGGAGCUUAGAAUUCAGACAUACUUUCGCUUUUUAAGGCAGGGUCUCACCUCAGCUGGCCUGGUACUUACCAUGUAGACUAAGCUGCCCCCCUCCCCCAAGGUGUCAGAAUAUGCGUUUCAGCUAAGAUCCCUGAGUGAGUCCUAUAAACACUGACGUUUGAUAGUCUAUUGUGCAGCAAGUUGUAAUGCUAGAACCACUGGUCUGCCUGCCCCAAGUUAAGGUUAAAUACAGACAGCCUGACAAACCUGGCUUUGGCCACAUCCCACAGUCAAAAGGUGUAUUGUGCAGCCUAUCUCCAUAUAAACAGUUGCUUUUUUUUUUUUUUUUUUUCCUAAGCAGGUUGGAGCUGGGUUUCUGUUAUUUAUAUUUGGAAGAGAGCUACAUUUGGUUUCCAGCUGUUCAAAGACAUGAACUGUAAUGCAUUCAUUAUCAAGGGGCUGGAUUCCACAGUUAAGAAUAUUGGCUACUCUAGCCGGGCGUUGGUAGCGCACGCCUUUAAUCCCAGCACUCAGGUGGCAGAGGCAGGCAGAUAGAUCUCUGUGAGUUUGAGGCCAGCCUGGUCUUACAGAUCGAGUGCCAGGAUAGGCUCCAAAACUACACAGAGAAACCCUGUCUCGAAAAACCGAAAGAAACAAACAAAACAACAACAACAAAAAGAAUAUUGGCUACUCUUCAGAGGAUCAGGGUUUUCAGAACCUACACGAUGGCUCACAACUUUGGCUAUUCCACUUGCAGGUGCUUCAACAACCUCUUUUGAUUAACCAGGGCACCCAUACACACAUGUAGGCAAAAUAUGAGAAAAAAAAAAAAACCUUCAUAACCAAUGACCUUUCAAGUAGGAAGUAUACAUAGAAGUAAACAGGGACUGGAGAUAUGGCUCAGUGGACAAGAGCACUGGCUUCUUCCAAAGGACUCAGGUUCAAUUCCAGGCACCUACAUGGCAGCUCACAACUGUCUAUAACUCCAAGAUCUGACACUCUCACAGAGAUAGAUAUACAUGCAAGAAAAGUGCCAAUAUACAUAAAGCAAAAAUAAAUAAAUUAAAA
ensembl:lncRNA